rnacentral:misc_RNA from 1 species
AAAGUCGUAACAAGGUUUCCGUAGGUGAACCUGCGGAAGGAUCAUUAGAAAAAGGAUGUGCUUUUUGCGCAUAACUCCUCUCACACCUUUGGCCCGUAAAAAAGGCUGGGGGUUGAAUGAGUCCCUUAACCCUUUGUGAACUUUAUACCUUAUGCUUCGGCAGCACGCUCCCUCCUUUAUAUUGGGGGUGGGGAGUUGGUAAGGCUGCCGAUAGCCCAUUCAAAACUAUUUUAUUUUAAAUCAUGAAGUCUGAUUACUGUUAAAUUUAAACAAGUUAAAACUUUCAGCAACGGAUCUCUUGGUUCUC